GACGAACGCUGGCGGCGUGCUUAACACAUGCAAGUCGAACGAAGUGGCGAACGGGUGAGUAACGCGUAAUAAACCUGCCCUUCAGAGGGGGACAACAGAUGGAAACGACUGCUAAUACCGCAUACUGAAGGAGGGGAUUGCGUAUGAUUAGCUAGUGGGAGGGAUAACGGCCCACCACGGAGAUGAUCAGUAGCAGGUCUGAGAGGAUGAACGACCACAGUGGGACUGGUACACUGCCCAGACUCCUACGGGAGGCAGCAGUGGGGAAUCUUCCGCAAUGGACGAAAGUAUGACGGAGCAACGCGGGGUGAGUGAUGACGGCCUUCGGGUUGGAAAGCUCUGUUAAUCGGGACGCGGUACCGGAAUAGAAAGCCACGGCUAACUACGUGCCAGCAGCCGCGGUAAUAC
rnacentral:rRNA from 1 species